AUGUGCUGUGAGCUCGAUGAGUAGGGCGGGACACGUGGUAUCCUGUCUGAAUAUGGGGGGACCAUCCUCCAAGGCUAAAUACUCCUGACUGACCGAUAGUGAACCAGUACCGUGAGGGAAAGGCGAAAAGAACCCCGGCGAGGGGAGUGAAAAAGAACCUGAAACCGUGUACGUACAAGCAGUGGGAGCACAGGUUUACCUGUGUGACUGCGUACCUUUUGUAUAAUGGGUCAGCGACUUAUAUUCUGUAGCAAGGUUAACCGAAUAGGGGAGCCGGAGGGAAACCGAGUCUUAAUUGGGCGUUAAGUUGCAGGGUAUAGACCCGAAACCCGGUGAUCUAGCCAUGGGCAGGUUGAAGGUUGGGUAACACUAACUGGAGGACCGAACCGACUAAUGUUGAAAAAUUAGCGGAUGACCUGUGGCUGGGGGUGAAAGGCCAAUCAAACCGGGAGAUAGCUGGUUCUCCCCGAAAGCUAUUUAGGUAGCGCCUCGUGAAUUCAUCUCCGGGGGUAGAGCACUGUUUCGGCUAGGGGGCCAUCCCGGCUUACCAACCCGAUGCAAACUGCGAAUACCGGAGAAUGUUAUCACGGGAGACACACGGCGGGUGCUAACGUCCGUCGUGAAGAGGGAAACAACCCAGACCGCCAGCUAAGGUCCCAAAGUCAUGGUUAAGUGGGAAACGAUGUGGGAAGGCCCAGACAGCCAGGAUGUUGGCUUAGAAGCAGCCAUCAUUUAAAGAAAGCGUAAUAGCUCACUGGUCGAGUCGGCCUGCGCGGAAGAUGUAACGGGGCUAAACCAUGCACCGAAGCUGCGGCAGCGA
rnacentral:rRNA from 1 species